AACCUGAUCGGAUUGAAAUUUACAAACCCGAUCGGGUUGUGAUCGGUUCGGGUCAAACCCGACCCGAUCCGAAUACCCCAUCGGGUUCCCAAAAAAAAAAUUUUGAUUUCUGGCAUGUGUCUGUACUCCUUAUUGAGCAUAUUUCCCUCUCCAUUCUCCAACAGCAAUCGAAUCACACCAAUAACCAAUCCAAAAAGUUAGCAGCCAUUCUGUCAAAAUUCUUCUCAGAGACAUUUUAAAUUUUAAUAAAGAAAAUAAAGUUGCCUUAGAUGGCAUUUUGCAAGUGCAAUGAUGACUGAAGCAAUCCUCACCCUUUUCUGUUUUUGUCCAAUUUAAUCAUUCAAAAGAGAUCUUAUCAUCUACCCAACGCCAAGCAAUUGAUAAAUUUCGAGCAUUUGACAAAUUGUUUAAGAACAGAACAAUUUCUUUUUGGAGGAAAAGAAAAAAAAAAAAGGGGAGAGACCGAGAGAGAAUGAGAAAGAAACAAAGAAAGAAGUCACGGGAAACAAAUUUGAAUUUGUCAUGCUGCUGCACAGCACACACACAGAACACUAGAACAGAAGUCACAAGCUGCCAGCCACUGAGCCACACACACAUAGUCACAUACGCUGCUGCACACAUAGAACUAUAGAAGCCACAAGUUGCACACUGCACAGCACACACAAGUCACAAGCUGCACAGCACACACACUGACACUGUGACACACACGCUGCAAGUGAACAGCACACACAAGUCACAAACUGCACAGCACACACACUGACACUAUGACACACACGCUGCAAGUGCACAACACACACACACACACACACUAUAAGUGCACAACACACACACACGCUGCACUCAACAAUUCACUCGCAAAGACGCAAACCUAACACACACACACGCUGCCUGUCAGCCACAACUUCACAAAUCACAAACACAAACACAAACAACUAAUGAUAUUAAAAAAUUGCAUGAUAUUAAAUUAUAGUAAAAUUUGGAUAGAGAAUCAUAGUCCUUAGUGGAAAUUAAAGCGAUGCCCUCUAGGCUUCAAACGUGUUGCAAUAGUCUAAGCCGAUUGUUCCUCUCACACACUAUUUACUUGUUAUAUUUGGACAUGGGCUUUUGUAUGCCUUUCCUUGUUCAAUCGACAAUACCACAAAAAAUUGAAGUUUAUUGCCAAGAAUUAAGUACGUGCCUUUAACUAAAGAUGUCAGACUUCAACCAAUGAGCCUUUGGCCCAAUGAGAGAAUCAUUAUAUUUAUAAUGUUGAGUGCAAGGGUUCGAGCCUCCAUAAGAGUAUUAUAGAGGUUAGUUUCCGUUCUUCUUCAAUUAUCAACUAAUUGAGUGGAGACAGUCUCUCCCUUACGAAAUGUGAGUGGAGUAGGCAUCCUUCGAAUAUUAGAGAGGGAAUAAGAAUUUAUGUAUAACAGAUAGGGGUGGGCAAAAUCGGGUUCGGGUCGGGUUCGGGUCAACCCGAUCGGGUUUCGGGUUGUUCGGGUUAGACAAAAACCAACCCGAACAUAACCCGAAUUAUUGACCCGACCCGAACUAUGUUCGGGUCAGUUCGGGUCGGGUCAAUAAUUCGGGUUAUGUUCGGGUUGGUUUUUGUCUAACCCGAACAACCCGAAACCCGAUCGGGUUGACCCGAACCCGACCCGAACCCGAUUUUGCCCACCCCUAUCUGUUAUACAUAAAUUCUUAUUCCCUCUCUAAUAUUCGAAGGAUGCCUACUCCACUCACAUUUCGUAAGGGAGAGACUGUCUCCACUCAAUUAGUUGAUAAUUGAAGAAGAACGGAAACUAACCUCUAUAAUACUCUUAUGGAGGCUCGAACCCUUGCACUCAACAUUAUAAAUAUAAUGAUUCUCUCAUUGGGCCAAAGGCUCAUUGGUUGAAGUCUGACAUCUUUAGUUAAAGGCACGUACUUAAUUCUUGGCAAUAAACUUCAAUUUUUUGUGGUAUUGUCGAUUGAACAAGGAAAGGCAUACAAAAGCCCAUGUCCAAAUAUAACAAGUAAAUAGUGUGUGAGAGGAACAAUCGGCUUAGACUAUUGCAACACGUUUGAAGCCUAGAGGGCAUCGCUUUAAUUUCCACUAAGGACUAUGAUUCUCUAUCCAAAUUUUACUAUAAUUUAAUAUCAUGCAAUUUUUUAAUAUCAUGCAAUUUUUUUUUUUUUUGAAAUUGAUUAAGCAUCAGGUUACUGAAUUACAUAUAGAUAUUUACAAAUGACAACAUAUUAUUGUACUGAUAUUUACAAUCAGAUAUAUAUAUAUAUACAUUUUUAUUCUAUGAAGUACAAGCUCAGCCAAAUACCCUUCAAGGGAAAGGGAUGUCUCUAUUUCACUCGCAUUUCGCAAGGGAGAAAGACGUUAUAAGCAAUCUCCACACAAUUAUAAUUAAUUGAGGGAGUUUGAAUCCUUGAGGACUCGAACCAUUGCCCUCAUAGUCAUGCUUGACUUUAAGGACAAUGGUUCACCACCAGGCCAAAACCCCAAAUGACUAAUAUCAUGCAAUUGAAAUAAUAUUACUACCGACUAUAAAUAGCGUUCAUGCUAUUGAAUCUUCACAUCACUUCACACCUUCACUUCUUUGCUUUCAAUUAAAAUGGCCAAGCACAUUUUGGUAAUGAGUUUACUGGCCAUAACUCCUUGUACGUGCUCAUCUUGCAGCUGCUUUUGAGCCUAGUCCUCAUCGGCCAGGGUUAAUGGCUAUGCCUGCGUGGACCCAAAACUCGCUCAGGCUAACCAUUUUUCAUUCAGCGGACUGCAUGUAGCAGGCAACACAUCAAAACCACCUGGCUCUAGGGUAACACCAGUCGCAGCGGCACAAUUACCUGGACUUAACACUCUUGGCAUUUCGUUUGGUUCGUAUUGAUUACGCACCAUGGGGAGUGGUUCCUCCUCAUGUUCACCCUCGUGCCACCGAGACUCUAACGAUCAUCGAAGGAAGCCUUGAGGUCGGGUUCGUAACAUCAAAUCCAGACAACAGGCUCUCAUCACGAAGGUCCUUCGAAAGGGUGAUGCGUUCGUUUUCCCUGUUGGACUUGUUCACUUUCAACGCAAGGUGAUCGUGGAAAUGUCUUUUCAAUCUCUGGUUUAAGCAGCCAGAAUCCUAGAGUCAUCGCUAUAGCUAAUGCCGUUUUGGGAUCUAGUUCUGCCAUUGCCGAUGAAUUGUCAAGGCCUUUCAGGUUGACAAGUCUGUUGUUGGUCAACCUCAAGCAAUAUUUUAGAUUAUGCAUCUUAAAUUGAUUCCCUGUAAACGAGAUUUGAAAAAUCUGUGUGCAUCGUAUGUGUUGCAUUUUUACUCAUGAUAGAUAUCUUAGGAGUACUAUUUGUCACCCAAAGAAAAGAAGAAUAAAAAUACGUAAGAAGAAAGAAUAUCACUCCAUAUUACAAAGGUCUAAUUACAUAUACAUUGAUACAAGUACUAACAGACAAUUUUAUUUUAUUUCGCAAAACACACUCUAUUCAGAAUAGUGCUAUACCUUCUAUUCUUAAAUUCUUAAAUCUGCCUAACUGAAAAAAUUAGCUAGGAUUCAAAAGCAAAGACAACGCCUACUUAAAAUAUUUCUAUUUAUACAGCAAUAAUCACAGAGUGAAUUAACAUGACAAGAAUUUAAAUCACACCCAGUUGUUUUUAAGUGCAAAAUCAUGGAAUCUAAAAGAUACCUCCCCAGCUGUGUCGCGCUCAAGCUUGCGCUCUCUAUUGUUUCUUAUUUCAUUGUCAUUUGGAACUUCAGCUGGCAGAGGUUGUAUCUGAUUCUCAUUAGGUUGACGUGCCAAUCGAACUUCAGAGGGUAAUGGCAUUGUAGGCAGGGAGGCAGCCCUUAAUCGAGUGCUGCUCCCGCUUGUUGAAGCCAGUGCUUGGUCCCAUAAGAACACAUGUAAGAGAAUAGGAACUUUGGCAUGCCGGUGCAAUGAGAGCUUCUGGCUGAGAGAAACUGUGUCGAAACAUCUAACUGCUCCUGUUGAGGAAACUAUCCAUGGAAGAACUUUUUGGUUUGACACUCUGGAGACUACCAGCAGCUUAGAAGCACUUACUGCUUCUUUGUAAAGAAUGCUGAGCCCUGACCUUGUAGAAGGUAUAUUUUCGUCAUCAUCAAUAACCGUGGAAAUGUAGAUAAAUCCCUGUCAACGAACAAGAAUGGUAAACAAAAACCUUCAAAAUGAUUAAUAAAGUGCAGUGAGAAAUUGGAGAAUCAAAUAGCGUACCUCUUCAGUGCGACUAAUGGCAAACCCAAGCUUGGAAUCACCUUCCUUUAGUUUGAUCUCAAUUGCUAACUCUCCCCCAACUGGAGCAUACCAAAGCCGAACAGCUCUAACGACACCGAGGUCAACGCCAUGAUAAUCCUCAAAGCCAUACAGACUGGCAUUUGCAACAUUAGACAAGUCAGAUAAUGACCCCGAAUUAACAGUGGAGGAGGCUGUCUCUCCAGAGAUCUGUUCCAGACAAAAAGAAGUUUGAAAAUAUAAAUUUCACUUGUUCCUCAUGUAGAUUUCGUAGGCUAAAUAGUUACUCUCAGAUGCAAAUGGUCAGAAAUAAGAAGAGAACACUUGGAAAAAAUAUAUGUUUGGACAUCAAUGCCAUGUAAGCACAAUGGAGACACUCCUCUUCUGAAUAUAAAUUUUCUAAAUUAGCAUUAAAAGCAGUUUUAGAGAAGUUGAGUACAUCUGACAAUCUACAAGGACCCAAUCAAACAAGUUCAAUAGCUGAGCAGCCUGAGCUUCGUGGAGGCUACGGAAUUUACCUUGGUAAGCAGGGACUCUGUCUGGAUGUUCAUGAAAACAAUCGGAACCCCAGUGGCCUGAGACGCAUUGAGCCAGGCAUUUGCCCGGGCAAGAGUGUCUUCCACAUCAUUGUAGCGAGAAGCCACUACAUCCGAAGCUUUUGGAAGGAGAAGCAUAGAAAGAAAGCAGCUUGAAUUGGGAACAGAUAGAACCUCCUGCUUCCUCCUUUCCCAAGGAUACGAGACAUAUCCUUCUUGAAGCCUAGCCCUAGCUAAUGCACUUACAAUCCUGGAGCUCCUUGAAGCUGAAGAUUACAAUUCUUUAUUUCACAUUGAAGCUUUGAAGAUAAAACACAAAGCAUAAAAUAUCUUGAUUCUAGCAGAAUCAAUCAGUAAAUAAACUGCUCACUGAAUAUUUAUAAAACUCUUGAAAGCCAUAAUGAUUAACAUAAAACAAACUGAAACAAAAUAUCAUGUAAAACAAAUCUCGAUAUCUUAACCUAUACAAAUUUCUAAAGAAACACAAACCAAUUUAAAAUUUUGAUCUGCUCUCCAGGUUACCACUUUGUGCAACUAUACAAAAUGCAAAAGAGAUUCACCUUACGAGAAAACAAUUCUAGAAGUAACUGCAUCACAUGAUGAUACAAAGGUUUUUAACAGUGAUUUUUAUUUAAAAUUUUAAACUCAGAGAGAGGAAAAGCUAUUAUGGUUGCACUCUUGGCUCUUGGGAUAGACACGGACAAUAAAAUACAGAUGAACGGAUGAUUUUACAACAUAUCUUCAAGCAAACCAUUGCAUCUUAUUACAUCCAUAUUAGUUUUUCCAUUAUUCAAUAAUAUGAUUGGUAUUGAUAAGUAGAAGCCGUGUCGCUGUAGAUAAAUAGGCAAAAGAAUCGGCCAUAUUUUUCACUAAAGAUGGCAUGUUCACACUACAGGUAAUACUAUGCUACCAUCUGAGUAAAUGUAGUUUUUGGUUUACUAAUUAGCAUAACGUUAUAAAUUAUUAAAAGAUGUCACUUUCAAAUUCAUAUUUCUAUUAGAAAAUGAGACAUUUUGCUGUCUUGAAAUACCUUUCUCCUAGACUUUUGCGGCUUAGUCUUCUAGAAACAUGUUCUAGGAAACCCUAGAUCUUGCUGUCCAAAUUUCUACCCCAUGUGUGAAAAGCCAAAGCCGCAAUUCAUGUCAGUUGACAUGUUGGAAAUUAGGUUAACUGAGUACCAUUAAUGUCUCAUCAACUAAGCCAUCAUUCAUGCCAAAUUCUAGAAAGGAAACACAUGAUAUCACGUAGACCGCCGUAGGUCAAGAUGCAAAGCAUUCAAGUGAAGAAAACAAAAUUCAUGAACCAGGUUAUGAUAAUGAUUGAAAACUUUUUGUAAUGGACCGCAAAGUUUUCACCACACUUCUUAAAUCUUUCUUCAUUUCUAAUUAAGUAAAUACAAAAAAUAAAAAUAAUAAUAUUUGUGAUGAUUAUAACAUUAAAAUGUCAUUAUACUCUUCAUGAAUAUCGAUUUUUUCUACAAAGGAAGCUCUAAAAAUAUCAAAGUCAAGAUCAUGCUAAUUGCCCAGUGAUGGUGGAAACAUGGUACAUUCAAUGCCCAUGUCAUAAAGCACUUCUCCAAGCCGUGAUACUAUUAUUUCAAAAGUUCCAUCAUUAAUAUGCGUGACUUGUCAAUAAGGUCUGCAAGCCUCACAUACCGAGGAAUCAUGUGCAAUUGAAAGAGACAAAUCAUCUUUAUACACAUAUAUAUUAUAACAGGAAAAUUGAGUAAACUAUAUAAAAAUUAAAUUGGAUAAAAUUAAUCACUUUCAUAAGAAUUGACGAAGCAGAAUUGUAAAGAUAGAGAAAACAAGUCUCCGAAUAAAAAAUUUAUUGAAUAAUUGAGUUUGAAAAGUCCCUCAAAUAAUGACAAUGUCUCUCUAUAUAAAAUAGAGAAAACUUACUCCCCUAAGUUAACUUAAAAAUGAAAAACUAAAUCUUAAAAUUCCUAAAAGAAAAGAUACUUUACUAAGUUAACUCGAUCUCAUACAUUAAUUGACCUUAAUAAAAAUAAAAAAAUUUAAAAUAAUAAAAUACCAUAAUUGACUCUAAUUAAAAUAAAAAAUCCUAAAAUAAUAGAAUCCUAGAAUCUUAAAAUUUCCAAAAUUACUCCCUACAUCAAGAAUUUUUGGAAAUUAAUAGAAAUAGCCUGCAAAUAAAGCAUGUUUACAAAAAUAGCCCACCAACUAUUUUUCAAACUUUAGGAGUUAAAAAUAAGCAUUUUGAAUGCAAAGACCCCCAAGUAAUCUAUUGCUUUGGGUGGGCAGUGACGUGUCGACAGCUCAUUGGUUAAGCGCUCAACCAGGCUAAUGUGAUAAAUUACUUUAAAUUAUUUAGAUGGAAAAUGUAAACAACAACAAUAAGUUCUCUCAAACAUGUUAUGAUUUUAGGUUAUUUUCGUAAAUAUUCCUAAGAAUUUUAAAGAAAUUAACAACGAAAAAAUAGUAAACACCAAUGGGAUUGAUAUUCGCACGUGUACUUGAAAAAAAAAACAUACUCGAAAAAGUAAUGGAAUCGAAAAGUUAAAGAGUCAUGGAAAAGUCAAAAAACGAACAAAACGCGGUCACAAGCACUGAAACACGACAGAAGCAAAUGAGCAAAACGGACUCACCUAGCAACUCGAGGCAGUCGGCCUCGGUCCGAUCAGUGAACCCGGCGGCGUAAUUCGGAUCCGUAAUGGACCUCAGCAUGUAACAGUUCCUCCUCCCGCCCGACUCCGGCACGAUGCACGCCUGCAGCUCGGCGAACUCUUCGGCGCCUCGCCUCACCCGGACCAGAAUCGACGUCUCCUUGUUCUUGAACGAGCCGUGCAGAAUCUUCUGAACUCCGCUCCUCCCGUUCUUGAACGGCGCCUUGUACGUCCGACAAGAGCCGGAUCCCGAUCCUAAACCCGAGCCGCCUCCUAUCGUGAAUUCCUCGACGAUGUCGCCCGUCUGGAGCAUGUCGGCCGUCCAUUCGUCGGCUUUUGAGGUGCCCUUGAGGCAGUCGAUUGACAGAACGGUGUAGGAUUUGGGGUCCCGCGUUGGAGAAUCGGAUUGUUGCUGUUGGUUUUUAUCCAUGGAUGAUCGGGUCGGGUCGUAGAUUCAGUGCAUUUGCUAACUGAAUUUUGGCGCAAAGGAUUUGAGAGAGAGAGACGAUAGCGCGAGAGAGAGAGCGAGAUGGCUUUUGAGUUAUUUGUCAGUUGGGGGGUUUUAAUGCAAGAGGCGGCAAGGGGCAACAAGUGGAAGCGAGAUUAAAAAAUUUCGUUUCUGAUUAAUUUUCGAGGAAUUUGCAGAUAUUUAACUUGGAGAAGAAAAUUUGGAAUGUAAGAAAUUAAUAAUCGGGGAGUUUUGACUUUUACAUGGGUUGAUGCUGAUUGGAGGCCUUGGUUGACAAGUUCAAUUCAUGAUUUAAUUACUAAUGUAAAUACAGUACGAACCCAAUAAAAUUAGUGCUCGAUUAAUUGAUAACUUGAUUAAGUAAUAAGUUUUGUUGUCAAGACUUGAUGCUAACGUUUCUAAAUUAUUAUUUGAUCAACUAAUUAUUUUUUUCUUAGUUUGAAGGAUAUUUGUUGAAUUGUGUUUCAUAUUGGUCAGUAAAAAAUAGAUUUUUUAUAUAAAUAAUAAAAAAGAGUUAGUUGGGUUGAUAAAUAAAAUAGGUCUUUCCUUCUAAUAAGUUAGUAUUUUAGGUUGAAUGUUAAGAAAUCCAAGUUAGCCCCCAAAGAUCUAUUUAUAUAGAUAUCAUCAUCUACAUCUAGAAAGUUGUAUGCUUUGAAAGAAGCUUGUUCGGUUUGGGAAGAAGUUUUGAUCAAUCAAAAAGAUGAACCUCCUUCAACUGAUAUGCCACAAAUAGUAUUAGAGUCAAACAUUAAUAACCAAAAAUGUCAUGGUGUAUAAUUCAGGUGUGUCGGUGAUGAAAGGAAUAUGUUUCUUUUGAAGAGAAAAUUGUUGAGUUAUCUCCUAUGUUAAUUAGCAAAACGAAGUUAGAUUCAUAAAUUGUAUAACUCAUUCCACCCAAUACACUUUGAGUUAAAUAACCUCAACCGUAUUAAUAAAACCAAGGUUAUGUUGUAUUGAUAUUUUAAUUUGAUAUUCAUUAAUAAUGUGCAACAAACAAAUGUAUUUUUGGAGUAAUAUUAUAUUACAAGCAGCCGUGGAUUUGUGGAGGUCUUGCUUGGGUAAAUCAAUGAAGAUAUAUUUGAAUUCAAAAUGAGACCGUAAAAGAAAAUUUACUCAAUUCUAUUGACUGAAUUGAACCUUGGAAACGACAUUCUAUCUUAUUUUUUUGGUUAUUUUGAUAAACUGAUAUCUCGAUUAAAUAAUACGAUUUGUUAAUAGAAAUAAAUUACAAUUCAAUAAAUUAAAAUUGUUUUAAUUAAUAACUUUUUCUUCAUCAUACAGUAUUGAUUUAUCAAUUAGAUUUGUAUAUUGCAAGUGUUACUUAAAAAAGAAUUAAGAGUAACACUAAAUCAUGUCCGAGUAUUAAAAGAAUAAAUUUAUGAGUCUGUGAUGCUGUCGUCAAUUAUAUAAAUAAAUAAUUAUUUAUUUUCUAAUGAGCGGCAUCAGAAGUUUCUAUGAUUGGCUGAGGUUGACCGACGAGGAUUGUUGGGUGUGACACGCGCCUUAAGUGAGAGAGAUUAAGCAACAAGAUCGAACCAUUGGCUUGGGAGUGCCGUUUUCAGGCGACGCGUGGGUGACGGUUACUUCUCACCAAACUUUCCCUGCAUUGAAGGAAAUCAUUCGAUAAAUAAAAUAAUGGAAAAUUAACAUCAAUCACAAUUAGAGGUCUUAAUUAAUUAAUUAAUUGAAUAAUAGUCAAAUCCUUUCUAUUCUUCACCAAAGUGGAAAUUCAUUUAGUGAUAGAUGAUUAAUGAAUAAAAAAAAUUAUUAUAUUUUAAAAAGAGAUAUAUUAGUCUUUUUUAAAGUAAAAAUAUAAAUUAAUUAUUUAGCUCAUUAAUUUUUUAAGAUUUAAACUCAAACUAUCGUACAAAAUACUUGUUUGAAAACUAUUUGAUCAGGUCUUUAAGAGUAAUAAGAAAAGAUUGUUGAAUGAAUAUUAUUAAAAGAAUUUGACUAUAUUAGAGUUCACCUACAGUGGAGCACGAAUCUCAACCACACACGCAAAAUAAUAAAUAAUAAAUAAUGAGUUAUAAUGAACUUUUUACUAUUUAUCAUUUUAUGUGUGUAGGCUGAGAUUCGUGCUCUACCGUAGGUGAACUCCAACGUAGCCAUAGUUUUAUUAAAAAUUUUGUUAUUGUAUUAAGUAUUAUGCAUCAAAAUCAUCACAAAUGGUUUGGCAAAAGGGUAAUUUGGUUCUUGCAGCUUGUGGUGCUGUGUUUACCGGACUCUCCCCAAUCUGAAAAACAUAUCAAUGUUGAAUAUUGCUACAAGCUACAAGAUUCAAUUCCAACAUCAACUUUUGGUAUAUCUUUAGUCAAUUCUGAAUCAGUAAAACAAUUCCCAAAUUUAUUUUAUUAUAUGAAGCAAGUGAUAAGACAAUUCAACUAUAUAAGGACAGAAUUAUUUUUAUUAUCUUCCGAGCUUUGACGGGACUCAGUAAUUGGGAAGAAUUUUGACUACAAAGAUUGCCAACAUCAUCAACUUCCAAAACACUAUUCAAUUGAAUUCUGUUUCUACUACCCAAAAAGAGAGAGGGAGAGGGGAAAAAAGAGGGACAGUUGUGGCGGUGCCUAACUGCCCAUUUUGGCUAAUUACACUGCCAUCCCUCUUAUAGUCUUAUUUGCUGCAAGUUGAAAAUAUUAGAGACUUUAAACUUUUAACAUAUAAAUCCUAUAUAUUUCUAUUAUUUAUAUUUGUAUCCUAGACCCCAGUUGAUUAUUAUGAAAUUUUUUAUAUUAUUAUUUCGUCAUGUAUUAAUAUUAUUGAUAAAUUAAUUUUUUUAUUACAUAUUUAAAUUAUUUAUUGUAGAUUAAAUACAUUUUAUACAGAAACAGACAUCAAUUUAUUAUUAUUUUUUUUGAACACCCAACAAUGAGCUACCAAAAACUCACAUUGUUUAGGUCUUGUUUAUGAUUAAAGUACUGUAACUUUUAAUUACAACUGUUGUGGAAAAAAAUUAUAAUUAUAAAAUAAAAAUUAAUAAUAUAUAAUAAAUAUAAUUUUUAAAUAAUAAUUUUAAUAAAAUUAUUAAAGAUAUAAUAUAAUAAAUUUUUCACUAUAGAGAUAUAAAUCAAAUUAAUUUCAUUUCCAUAAUACAAAAGUUGGUAUUUAUUAAGCACUUUAGUACUUUAACUUUUUAAGGUACAGCUACCCAACCUCAAUCCCGAAUAAGGCCCUAGUUAACAAUGGUUAUGAUAUGUACUUGUAAAACUCGCUCCUCAAAUGGUCAAACCAUAUGAGAAUGACCCCAUUUAGGUGAAUCCAAAAGCAAAUUGUGCGGCCCCAAGUCUAAAGCAGAGAAAUUUUUACUAUGUGACAGCAUCAACAGAAGAACAAGCAACCAAAGAUUCAAAAUUGAUCAUUUUGAUUUAUAUGAGGAAGCUGCCUCAAAAUCUAUUACAUAUAAAAUCUGCAGAGCUGGAAAUCUAACAACAAUAAUGAUAUUACAUUCACAGCAGACCGGCUUAAACCUAUUAGUAUGUACCAGCUGCACCAUAACUUUGACAACUUUCCUGCAUUAUCAUUAAAAAACGAAAAUGCAAAAGUAAAUAAAAACGAAGUACAAGCUUCUGUAGACACCAUAUUCACUAAGUAACAAGCUUCUGUAGACACCAUAUUCACUAAGUAACGAUAACUGCAUCAUUUGGAGCCUAUAAUAACAAAAGAACUGGCACAUGUAUGAACUAAUCUUAUGUUCAAAGGUUUCAAAUUCCUGUUAAAAGUAAAAAAUUCUUAAGAUGAAGGCAGAACAUUUAGCAAAGAUUAUGAACUCAAAAAUGAUGAAUACAGAAAUUUAAAAGCAUUCCUUGCAGGGACAAUUUGGUUUGACUUUGAGACAUUUCAAAAAAUUUAAGAGAUAUAGGAGAAUCUGAAGGUUCAAAAAGUCUUUGGUAAAGUUUGCUCAAAAAGAAAAAUCUUGUUUUUGAAGAUUCCAUGCCAUAAAUCAACAGAAACUUAUAAAGAAUUAACAUAUAGAAACUUCUUCCAAUAGAAUCAUAAAGCAGGAAGCAAUCACAAAUACACAAGACUUACUAAGCCCAUCUUUUCGGUGGAGCUGCAUCCUUUGAUGCCGUCAGAGGUUGCCUUCUAGCCUUCUUGAAUUCUCCUCUAACAGGAGACUGCUUCUGCCUCAGAGAAGAAGUUGUUCUAGACUUCUGAUUUGUUGGUGUUUCUCGAAGAGGACUUGACUGAGGCUUUUUGGAUCUGCCCAUUGGCUUCAGCAAAGAACUUGAGACUUUUGGUGAUACUGAUCUCUGUCUACUUGUUGAGGCAAGUUGUCCCCUUCGAAGAGGGAUGUCUUGAAAUUUAGCCAUGGGACUUUGAGGAGGGGAGUCUUGAAAUUUAGCAGCUGAAUCUCGAAGAGGGGUGUCUUGGAAUUUCGCUACUGGAACUACUGGUAGGUCAGUGGCUACUGCUCGGUCGCUGGCUACUAUUUGCUUGAUCGCUACAAGUCGGUUCUUGGAAGGGGAAUCUGAAUCUGAAGAAGAAGGGCUAGUAGUACUGUCCAUAUCAUAAAUAACAUUAUUUACCAUGGUGGGAAGUUGCCAGCAGUUCGAGUCUGAGGCUGAGGUUGAGGCAGAAGAGGAAGAUCUCUGUUGCCUUGUCAACUGCACUACCUGUAUUUGGUGACAUGAUUUUUCUAAGAGCUCAUUAACGAAUUUCAUAACAUUCAAGCUGUAUACAUGAAAGGUUCAUGAAUAGAUGCUAUUUCUUGAAAUAGAAGACUGCAGAAUGAGCUUCUCUUCCUAACACUGAGUUUGACAAUUGAUUUUAUAAGAAUUCACACUAAUAUUCACUCCAGCUUCCAUUUAAUUUCAACUGCUAAUUCCCUUAUCUCGACAAAUGCAUUCAGUAACAUUGAUUUCUCACCUUUUGUUCUAAGACCAACAUGUCCUUCUUAAGUCUUGUGAUUAUAAAGUUCUUUCUAAGUAUGAUGUCUUCCAACUCUGAGAUCCUCUGUUAUCAAUAAAAAGAACUAAGUUAAUCUUGGUCAGAAGAAAAAAUCUAAUAUGAAAUGAAGGGGAUAUAAAUGAAAAACUACCUUUGAACCUCUGACAUUAGUUGACUGAACUAAGGUGGUUAGCUCUUUUAUGGUGGUGUCUUUCUCUUCACACUCCUUCCUUAGAUUGCAGAUAUCUUGUUCUAUUGAAAAGCCGCUCAUCUGCACAAGAAUUUGAAAUCACAAAAAUGAAAAGUUGUUGCAAUGCUUAAGCAUCAUCACAGAAUGGACAAUAAUUUGAUCCUUAAUUGGUACUUGAAUAAUCAUUCAAAAUGGAAACUUGCACAUUUGUACUUCACAAGAUUGAUUCAAUGAAAUUCAAGAACCAAUUUACUAUAAGAUCAAAGUUCAAAUAUUGAUGGAUAUCGACUAAUCUAUCUGAACUUCAAUGAGAAAUCCCAGGUGUAAACAAAGUUUUGGGAUCUUCCAUUACCUGGAAUUCUGCAGCAGAUAUGCCACUUGAUGAUGCCCAGUCUGACAGGUCAGACAUGCGGCGCUCCUCUUGUUCUGACUCAAUUGCAUGAAUCAUUUUAUACGGCAUCAUCUCAUCCCCACUGGAGUUUUUUCCAGCACAACUACCCUGCUACCAAAUUAAUAAGAUAGUGAGAGUAAGUGUCUCAUCUCAGAUAACCUGUGUAUGCAAGGCUAACAUUCUACGGGACAAUGAAGUUAAAAUUUACCGCAAACCCUGAAAGCUGGUUAUGAUGCUGAUCACAGAGCCAACAACCACAAUCAACAAAAUUGAUUUUGUCGCUGCCAAAAGUUUCGCUUUGGGCUGAUUCUGCUUUCCCACUUAAUGACAUGUUGGCUAUGAUUCCUUGCUGGUCCUUAACGUAAUACAACUGUUCACAUAGGCUGUCAAGCUUCUGCUGCAUGCUUGAUAGCACCUGAUCCUGGAAAAGCAUUAGCAAUGGUAAAACAAAUUAAACCGGAUCAUAGCAGCUUCAAUGUGAAAGAUCACUAAGAAUAAUCAAAAUGAAAUGCAAACUAUUUGUUAACGAAUUGUCAUACAAUUCAUCCAAUUAACCGGGUCAAAUAUUGAUACAAAAAUACUUUAUUGAUUGAAAAAUAAUCUUCGCCAGCAAAUCAUAUCAAAUCUAACUAAGUUUAUGCACAGUGAAAUUCAAACGAAUAAACAUUACUUGAUUACAAGUUAAACAGAUAAACAUUCAGGCGAAUUAAAUACAUGGAGUUGCUAAAAGAAAAAUAAUUAUAUAAACAUACAGUUGAAUGUUAUGUACAGGGAAUUUGUGGCAGAAUUUUUUUGAAAAAAAUUUAAAAAAAAAGUCAUCAAUUUUUUUAUUUAAGGCAAUUUAAAAACAAACCCAUUAAAGCAGAAGAGUUAAAAUCACAAACCCUAAACUCCACAGAUUUUGUAAGCUGUGAAAUGAGCCGAUUCUUCUUCGACUCCGCAGCGGCAACGCCUAUAACGGCAACAAUCAGAAACCUCUGAAUGGGAGAGAAGAGCUCCCAAGCCACGGCUUCCUCUCGGCUUAGCCCGCCCUUAACAGCGCGAGCUGAGCUGGCUUUGUCAGCGUUCACAAGCCGGCCUUCUAACGACACCCACGCCAGAUUUCUUCUCGAGACCGGCUCGCUCGGCCUUUUGAAAUUGCUCGAGAGCCGGCGAGGCGAAGGGGAAGGCAUUGAACGGAAUGCAUUGAGAGAGACUAACGCUGGCGGCGGCGGCAUCUGAGCCAUUUGUGCAGCGGAGCGCGAGCCGGGGCCGAAGCCGGGGUCAUUGUCGGCUUCGUGCAUGAGAGGUUUUGAAUUUUUAAAAGAGAGUAGUGAGAACAAAAGGAGGAGCGUGAUUACAGGGACAUUAUUGAAUUGAAAUUGAAUUUUUUAUUUUUUUUUGGGUUUUGGGGAAAUUUUAUUUUGAUCGGUGAGAUUUGAAUUGAAUGAAUAAGCGAGUUACUAUUAUUGUUUGUAUUUAAUUGAAUUCUGUAAAUUUGAAUUUUUUCCAUUCGAGAGGGAAAACGUCGAACUUGAAGCCGCAAGGCACCCGAGUUGAACGUUGAAGGAGCAUCUGGGCUUUUGACACGUGUCCGCUUUCUUUUCAUUUGGCUUUAUUUUUGUUAAUACUUUUUGCUUUUGUAAUCAAAUUUCGAAAUUUGAAAUUAUUUUUUUCCAAAAAAAAUGAUAUGGUAUUGGAGAAUAGUGGAUAGUGUAUUGGAUUAGAUAUGGUAAUUAGUUUUAAACAAAUCUUGUCUAUAUAGAAUAAUUCCACAUCUAUUUGUUGGCAUUAAGUUAACUUCCAAAUAUCAACACUCAACAGAUUUACUUUGAAAUUUUUCAAGAACGUUAACAAAAUUUAUUAACUUUGAAAAUCAACUUUAUAGAAUAAUAUCAUUCUUUUUAAGUUGUAAAUGAUAUUUUAAUUAUAACAAUUUUGUAAAAAAAAAUUAAAUUUAAAAAUCUACUAAUAAAUUCGUCAGAAUUCCUUAAUUAACUCUUGUAAUGGUAUAGCCUAAAGUUUUUACACUUAUAAUAAACCGAAUCUACUUCUAAAUAUUUAAAAAAUAAAUAAACAGUCAUAAUUCACAUCAAGAUAUAAAAUCUGAAAUUAACAACUGUAAAUAAAGGAAAUACUGUAGUUAUCUAAGUGGAAACUUCAUAAUUUUCAUUUUACGAUCUAAGUUGUCAGUUUAGAGCAACGACUCAAAUAUAUAUAUCUUUAAUUUUAUUCUUUUGAAUUAAAUGUAAUUAGACCCUUUUGGGCCCAACAUACAAUAAUUUAUCGAGCAUCUUUAUAAUAUAAGGGUACAAGUAAACUUUAAACUUUUCUUACAAAAUGAUGGGGUAGGCGACAAACGUGCAAUUAGUUGGAACUCAGCACCCACUUAUAUAUUCACACAAAACAUGUUCCUCAUAUUUAUAUAUCCUUAAUUUUGUUAAAAUAUCACUCGAAUUGGACUUAAAGAUGUGUUUGGGUUAACGAUGGACUUGGAUUCCAAUGGUGGCCUGAAGCCUAGUAAACAAAGUAAGAGAAGUUGUGAUAUUUGACCCCUUAGUUACAUCUCACCAGUUCCCACGAAUCAUUUUUAUAUUAAUACUUAUUAUUAUUUUAUGAAAUGACUUUAAAGAGUAAAUAGUUUUUAGGUUCGCCCACAUAAUAAUUCCUAUUAAUAUCUAAUUUAGCUAUUUAAUUUCUUAAACCCUAAUUUAUUUAACUUUUUAAAUGAUUAUCUCUUCUUCAAUAAUGUAUGCUUUAAUUUUAUAAUUAUGGAAGAAAUUAAAUUUUAGUACUAAAUAGAAGAUGAUGAAAAAGUAUCAAAUAUUUUUUAAUGGUUAUAACAACUAUGGAUAAAACCUUUAAAAAAAAAGAGAGAGGUUAUAAUGAUUAUGAGAUUUUUUUUUCUUUUUUUGAAAUAAAUUUUGUAAGUUUUAUAUGGUAGGUACUUAGAAAAAAGAUAAAAAUUAUAAUGAUGCUAAAUUCAUGAUUAGAUGAAACAUGUUGAGAGAUAAAAAUUAUUUUAAAAUUUUUAAUAAAAUUAACUGAAAAGUAAAAACUAAUGAGAUGUAAUAAGAAGGUCAAAUAUCACCGCUCAAGAUAAGAGCCAGACAAACUGGGGCUUUCGUUGCCCCAGCACUGUCGGCCUCUUAUUGCUCUUUUAUUUGCCCCCAUCCAAAGAAGCUUCACGGUUCUAAGAAAGGUACCCACUUAUAGAAAAUAAAAUAAGUAAUAUUUUCUUAUAUCACAGCUAUGCUUUGUCCCACCUCUGCUGAAUUAAUUAAGAGUAAAUUUCAAAAGAUGUUGUAUUACCAUGUGUCAAUUUGUUCACCGAACUAACAUGAGCAAUGUUGGUCACUAAAAAUAACAAAACAGACAGAAACCCUUUUCUUUUUGUUAAGAUUAUAAAAAAAUUCUAAUUAGUAGGCUAAUAAUAUUUAAUAUUAACCGAUAAGAAAUAUAUUUUAUCACUAAGUGAAAAUUAUUUUAGAUUUAUUAAUGGGUUAUUAACUUUUAUUUUUUUGAAUAUAUCAGUUCAGGCUCUAGUAUUCUCCAUCUAAUUAAAUUAAGUACAGGUAAAAUUUCUCUCCCACUAAUAUGCAUAGAGUAGAUAUAAGGGUAAAAAUUCAAAGUUGUGCUGUGAUAAACUUAUCAAAGAUAAUCUUAAUAAAUUUUUUUUAUUACAAAUACAAGUAGAAUCUUAUUUGUAAUUGUAAUAUAUAUGUAUAUCGAUAAAUUAUUUAUCAUCAGUUAAAUAUGGAUGACAUCAUGAAUGACAUGGCAAACACUUCCUACGGAAUUGGGGUCCAAUAAGAAAGUGAUUCAUCUAUUGAGUCUAUCGCUAGCCGUGCCCCACUAGGGCAAGAGCCAAUCUACCCUUUCACCAAAACGUUAAAAACAUUUUUAGAUCAUCUUCAUAUCAUCAUCAUCAAGCUCAUCAAUUCAAUCAAUCCCUUAUCAUUUUCCCUUUCUUUUUUUUUCUUUUUUUUUGGGCACACCUUCCCUUUUCGAAGCAUUUACAUGAAAGUAGGAGUUUACAAUCAAAACGAAACGUGCUACUAUACAUAGAAUUAUCUCAUCUUUGUGGCUAAAAAGAGAGUUAGUGAUCAUACUUGAAGGAUGAGAAAUUAACAAUGACACAAUCCCAUUUUAACUUAUGUUUUUUUUCAUAAAGUAAGGUGAUAAUUGUUCAAUCUCUUCUCCAUUUACUUUAUGGUCCAUUCACUUUAUGCGAACUUCAUAGUUCUUAUAAUGUAUUAUUAUGAGAGAUUUUAUAAGUUGAAUCAACUAAUAUCCAUAUUAAAAAAUGAAAUGUAACAUUCAUGUACUAUCUUAAUAUGAGAAAUAUACUUUAAGAAAAAUAAUAUUAAGAAAAUUUUAGAAAUUUUAAGAUACAUAGUGAAAGAGUUAAGAAAACAUUUUCAAGCAAAUGUUAGAGCAGUCUAAAACCAAAAAGAGCAUGUACAAUAAUAGGAAGUCAAUAGGCCUAAUCUAAAGGUGAGAUCUUUAAUAAUCACAUAACACUUCACAUCCAACUAAGCACUUGAUUGAUCUAGAUGCACCAAUGCGCUUUAGCAUUUACUUUCAUUUAAGGCAAAAAGAAAAAUGACGUGGGGCAAAUUUGGCACUCAAUUUAAGAUCCAAUUUUGGUAACAAAUUCCAUCUUGUGGGGUUUUGUGGAAUUAUCUCUUUCAAAAGGAUAAUAGUUUCAACUAUGUGAUGCACAGAUGGUAGGCCCCCACGUGUCCCCAUGCCCUUUAAUGGGAUAGCAACCCUUGAUAGCAAAGUGCACGGUAGAGCUUAGCCCCCAGCACAUAUCUCGUCUCUCUCGGCAACAUAAAUUAUCUGAUCAUGAUUGAAAAUUAUGCUAAAAGUACUUAUUUAAAACAGCAAUUAAACUAUACAAAAACUAGCUACAUAAAUUAGCUUCUAGCAGCAUAUUUUUUCUCUCUUUUCUGUUCUUUUUUAAUUUUUCUCCACACCCCACAGCAUAGUAUAUAAUAGAAAUAAAUAGCUAGCUCACUAAAUACUAAUCACUACCAUCUUCAUAUUUUUUAGUGCAAAAAAGAACCCACAACCAAGCUUUAUAUCUUCCUUUUCCCAGCUCUUUUUCGCUUCUGUACAUAAUCCCAGGCCUUUUCUUCUAUUGCUGCUCUUGCUUUGCGCAUGUACACUUUGCACGAUUAUCCGAGAGUGCCUUUUUUUUUAUUUAAAAGAAAAAAGAUGUAAUCAGCAUAGUGUUUAAUUUUGGGUUAAGAUAGCAAGAUUGCUUGGCUUGUAAUGUACCUUCACUUGGCAUUGAAGUUCUUUAACGUAAUCAACGGCCAAAUCUAGCAUGUCUGCUGUGUUUGUUUGCUGCAAAUUGUGGGGAAAAAAGAAAAUGGAUAAAAAAAAGUCACAUUAGUUAAGAGUCUCCAUGGACAAAAUUAGAAACACAAAUUAAUGCAAAGAGAAGGAAAUUAUCGUACUUUGUCCAUGUUGGGUACAAGUUCUUGUAGCUUCCUCAUGCGCUCGCUAAUUUUGGUUCUUCUCACCUGAAAUUAAAAUCAAAACCAUAUAGUAAACAUAAUGUAUGAUCAAGACUGCAGCAAGUGAAAUGUAACCAUCAACAUAAGAUUUAUAUAUAUUACCCGUUCGGCAAUGCUUCUGGGAUGGGUCGCACAGCCCCUUUUGGCUCGGAUUUUGCACGGCACUGAAUCUUGAUAGUGAAGCAGCUUUUCAAUUGUAGCUAUAUCUUUCGGCAAACUCAAGUGAUGAGCUAAGAGAGGAGGAGGCCGGGUUCCGAGAUCAAUACUCUGUUGAUGAAACAAGUAGCACUAAAUCAUUACUAUACCGUUGGAUCAAUAUUUGAUGUAACAAUUAGAAUAACUUAAAAGGUGCUUGAUACCUGAGUUUCAGUUGCACUCAACCCAGAAAGAGUCCUAUCAUCUUCUCUAAGUCUAUUAACCUCACUGACAAUAUUUUCCGGCAUCAUUGAAGAAUCAUCCCAAGAAUCCAUAGGAAAGCCUGUUGAAUAAUUGCCGUUAUGGCCUUCUUUGAACCCGGCAUUGCUGGUUUUAUUAUCAACCUCCACAAUAGGACUCAUCGGCUUUGCACCAGUAGGUGGCUUCCCUGAAGAAGCAUAUGAUGUUGAUUCUCUUUUGAUUGUGUUAUUUCCACCACCAUAAUCUCCCAUGCCUUUCAUCAUCACAUAGCCUAUCCCCCACGAGAGAAAAAUAAGUAAAUAAAUUAAAAAUCCCAAAUCAUCAAACAAGAAACUAGUUGAUCUAUUUCAAUAGUUUAUUUAUUUUAUUUAAUUUUUUAUGUCCUAGUUGCUUAUUAAAAAUUUCAUUGGAAAUUCAAAAAACUACAAAAUUAAAUCUACAAAUUACAUUAAUUGGUUUGUAGAGAUGAUGAGGAAAAAGAGUGAAACAUUUAUUAUCUAAAAACAUAGCCUUAAAAAGAAACUUUCCAAAAUUUUCUAUUUCUUUAUAUAAAUUGUUUCCAAGAAACCAAACAAACUCAACGGAGUGUGUUGUGAAAAAAAAAAAACAAAAAAACACAUACCAUUUUCAAUAGUGAUGUUACUGAAAAGUCCAGCAGGUGAGCUGCUAUGGCGAAUAAGAUUUGAAUUAUUACCACCAGGACCUGCACCAGCACCACUCAUCUUCAUCGGCUGAGUUGAAAAUCGAUCCAUGCCAACAUUUUGACUCUGAAAAUUCUGUUGCUGCAACUGAGGCUGAGGAGGCUGAGUUUGGUAAUAGCUCUGCUGCUGCUGCUGUUGUUGUUGCUGUUGCUGUUGCUGUUGCUGCAAUUGCAUAAGCUGUUGCUGUUGCUGUUGUUGAUCAGAUUGAAUUAUCUUUUGUUCAGGGAUGAUGCUGUUGCUCGUGUUUUCAGUGUUGUCAGUGUUGCCAGCAGAAUUUGACAAGAAUCUUGCAAAGAUUCGCUCUGUCUCGGGACUCGAAGGCCUCAUGAGGAAAUCUUCAAAGGCAUCUUUGUCAAGAAAGCUUGAGAAAUACGAACUCGGAGCUGAUUGGUAACGUGUCAAGCCUGAGUUUAGCUGCUUCUGAUGGUGCUGAAUUUGAUGAUCGUGAAGAAAAUGAUGGCGAUGUUGUUGAAGAUCUGACUCCAUUUUCACCUUGCUUCUUCUUGUUAUUAAUAAUAAUAAUGCUCAAAAAAGUUGAUUUUUUUUUUAAACCCUUUCCGUUUUUCUUUGGUUGUUUCAAUAUCAGAUCAAACUUGAAGCUUCUUCUUCAUUGGGAUCUAAUUUCUGAAAAAUUGGAACAACUUUUGGUCAGAAAACAAGCUUUAAAAAACAGAGGAAACAGAAAAACAGAGGAAACGGAGAGCAUAAAAGUCAAAUUUUCGAUCAGAGGAAGGGGAUGGACAUCAAAUCUGAAAGCAACCCAGUUUCAUAUUCUUGAAUCUGAAUCACUCAAAGAAAAAUGAUAACCAAAAACAAGCAAUGAACAGUGACCACUAAAAAAGGGGUGGAUAUGUUAUAUCACAAAACAGAGGAAACAAAAAUAAUAAAAAAAAAAAACACAAAAACACCCUCACAACAACAACGAUAAACUCACUUAGUAAAUCACUCUCUCUCUGCUACUGCUGAAUUGAUUGAGCAAAAAGCUGAAAGUGUUUUUGUUGUUGGCAGUGAGAAAGUGAAAUCUUCAGGGAGCGAAAAAAAAAGAAAGAAAUGGAAAAUGAAGUCAAAAUAUAGUUUUUUUAAUAUAAUUUUAUUUUUAUGAUGAUGAUGAUUGAUGAGUUUCAGGAGGUGGGAAAUAACAAGGACCAGAAAUAUAAAUAUAGUGGGGGUUUUUUUUUUUUAUUUUGGUUUAUUUAUCUAAUUUUCUUUUGGACAUAAAUACCCUUCGUGUUUUCUUUAUUUAUGACAUAUAAGUGGCAUAAUGAAAGAGCCUAAAUGGCUAGCAAUGUGUACACGUCACUGUACAUACGUACAGGAGUGAAAUUACGUCUGAAAUGGAAGAAAAAGGACAAUUUCUAGUUCUUUCUUUAGAACUGGGCUAAAGCUAACGAUUUGAUUAUUGGAGCCCUCCAUGCGUGCAAAUGACGAUGUUGUCCUUGUUAAAAACUAAUAAUUGUUCUGAGAAAGAUUUGUUUGAUCUUUUUUUUCCUCCAAGAAAAUCACGUUUUCUUGAUCGAACAUUAGAGCCAUAGGAAAUCAUGGUCCCAAUUUUAAAAGUUUAUAUUUUAUUAUCAAAGUUUUGACGUAAUAAAAUAAAAAUAACAUGAAAAUAAAAUAAUUUACCUCAAAUAUAUAUUCAUCUGAUUUUGGUGCUCAAGUGUUCGUAUUUUAAAAAGUAGUUCAGAUGGAGUUAAAAUAUAUAUAAAAAUAAAUAAAGAAUACAAUAUAUUGUUUAUUUGUCUUUCAAUAACAUUUUAAAAUUUAUGUUUUUAUUUUUUAAUUCUAUCCACAUGAGUGCGACACCUGCACUGAUUCACGGCUCAUCGUCUCAUAUUAUUGAAAGAAAGAUUUUUGGCUUGAAUUUUUUUUUUUUACUUUUAUUUAAUAGUAUAAGUUAUAUUUAUUUCCCUUCACUUUCUUUCAAACCAAGGAAAAUUAGUCUCCCACAGCAUAAUAAUAGCAGAAACUUACACGUACCACCGCCUUUGAAUUUUAGAACCAUUUAGCCAUAAUUGAAGGUUUAAAUCGUCUUUUUCACAAGCAACAAAAUUGGUUGGAGAAAUGCACCAGUGCGGCCUUUCAACGUGCAAAGCGAUAAAUAUUUUAAUAAAAUCCUCCAUCAGUUCGGGAAAAAUAGGACAAAAAUCAAUAAUUUUCUAAUGCGGCUACCAAUUCAUUAAUUAUUUUCACAUUUAAAUAAUAUAAGUGCUAGGUUUGAUGAGAAUUAAAUUAUUAACUCCUUUUACCACGUAGCCGCACACCAUUGGUGCCACGUGUGGAUACAGAAAACAAAAUACAAACUUUCAAUUAUUAUUAAUUUUUUAAUUUUAGGUUGAUAAAUGUGUCAAACUUCGGCGCUGCAAGGACAUUACUGGCCCUGUUAAAUUAUUAUGUUUGUGGGUAAUCAAGGAUAAAUUUGUCUUAAACGUAAUUUUUUUAUAAUAAAUUUGUCAGUAAUAUAUACUGCCAAAGUCAUAUGAAUAUAUAAUAUGCAUAGAUAAAAACUCUGUAUUUUUUCCACUACCAUUGUUUUUGUGCAAAUUUAUAAUUUAAUCAUGCCAUGAUUCAUGAAUUUCAAUAAAGAAAUAUUAGUUGUAAGAUCUAAUACUUGGAUUGGUUGCGACAGUUUCUAUGCUUUAUUUUUUAUUCUUUUUUUGUAAUAUUAUAUGAAUUACGUAUUCUUAAUAAGCAUCUUACGCAAAGUCAUCAAAGUCUGUGGGUGAUUAAUAUUUUUAUUAUUUUUGACAGCGUAAAUAUUUGUUUGGUCUUUACCUUUUGAUUUAAUUAUUUAUUUAACCUGCAUAUGUUAAAAAAAAAUGCAUCAAAACGUUGUUGCAGUUAAACAUAUUUUUACUGCAUUUGAUUGAAUCACUGGUGAACCAAGAUGUAAUGGACUAAUAGGACAUGUGUUUUGAUAAUAAGAUAUGAUUUGAUCGAUUGAUAAUUAACCAUCAUAUUUUGAUUGCCUUUCAAAAGAAAAAGAAAAAGAAAUCAUCAUUGAUGUUUCCUUUAACAAAUAUUGGAAACGUGGCAUUUGUUUUUUUUUUUUUAAAUUUGAAUAGACCUAAAUUAGUCUGAAUUAUAGAUAGAGUUGAAUAUCUGAAUUUGAAUGACAUGUUUGUUUUUUUAUUUGAAUAGUUAAAAAUAAAUAUUAAGUCGUUUGCUUUUUUCACUUAAAAAAUCUGAAAACUAAUAUAUUUUACAUUUAUGCCCUUAUAAAUUAUAAUGUUAAACAAAUAAUAAACAUCUCAAAGAAUAUAAAUAAGUUAAUAAAUUAUCAUAAUAUAAAUCAUAUUCAAUUGAGUAUAACUCUUUAAUAUUUUAUAUCAUAUAUGUUAAUCAAUUUUAUUAUAUUUUGUGAUGUUUUUAUAUGAAAAGUAUUCAUAAAAAAUUAUAAAGAUAAAUAAUGCUAUUUUGAACAAAAUAAAAAGAUAAAAAUAAUAAUAGUCUACCACUAUGUAUUAUCACAAAUUAUAUACAAAUGGGUAAUAAUGCUAAUUAUUAAAAUUUAUUUAGCUAAGGAUAUAGAUUAAUUAAUUAAAUAGGGAUUUUUUUAAAAAAAUAUAUAUCUUUUAAUGAUAGCAUUCAAACUUUUUAGAUUAAGUAAAAAGCUAAAAAAAAAUUAGCUCAAUAACUUAAUUGCUGAAAAUCUUCAUUAAACUGAAAAAACAAACAAAUUUGAUGACUUAACUGAUUAAAAUUAAGUCAAUUAAGUCAUUAAGUCAAAAAAAAAAAAAACAGCCCUAUACUCAAUUAAUGUAAAAAUCAUAUGAACUUACCCAUAAAUAAAUGAAAUACAAGUAAAUUAUACUAUUCUUAAACCCUAAUCUUGAUGAAUCCAAAUAGUUUUUAUCACCAAUGCUUCUUCUUGUUUUUUUUUUUCCUUCAUAAAUUUUAUAAUUGUAAAGUAUCUUUUUUUAAUAACAUUCUCUGUCUAUUUUAUUAUUACUAUAUUUUAGUGAAUGGCUGGCAUAUUUUUAAGUUUAAUUUUUUUUUACAUUGGAUGCUAAAACACGUGUCAAGUCACCGUAAAUUUGAUGAAAGCUAACUGAUCAAAUCACUAUUAUAUCUACCAUUUCUUUUUUCCUCUUUUUCACCCCCUCCAAAUCAAACAACUAUAUCUGCUUUGUAACCUAUUAGAAUCUGAAAACGUGGAUAGAGAUUACAUUUAGUCGUCGUUUACUUGUUUAAGAUAUCAUUUCAGGUGAUCCAACGCCUAAGUGAGAAAGCACUUUUGAGUGGAAGACAAGCACUAUUGAAUCGAUUGAUUUGUAACUUGUUAAAAAUAUUAGUAGUGGAAUAUUUAAUAGAUAAUGUUUUCUAUUAUGUAAAGGGUUUAUGCUCAUCUUUAACGUGAUAUUGUGCCAAUUUUUAUGACAAGUAUAAAUUUUAUCACGACCGCAAUUAAAAAAAAAUACAAUAAUGCUACAUAUCUCAAAUUUUUUAUCCCAAAAAAUUAUCUCAAAUGAUGUGUCAUUAAUUGAGUGGUUGAUAAUUCUUUACAAGAUUCAAGUGAAUUAAUUAUAUUAUCUCACCAAUCAAUUGAUAAAUGACACAUCAUUUAGGAUAACUUUUUGGGAUAAAAAAUUUAGAACGUGUAGCAUUACUUAAAAAAAUAAUGGGGCCUUGAUUCAUGCCACAAAAGAUGUUAGUUUCGCUAAGUUUAAAUGCAUGUGACACCCCACUUUAAUAUAAAGUCCUAAUCAAAGUUAGGUUACCUUGUCAGAACAAGAAUAUCAAUUUUUUUUUUUACAUACUAACAUUAAUUAUUAACUAUUUAUUGAGAUAUUACUUGAACUAAAACUACUUUUAUAAAGUAAUUUAUAUUUAUAAUAAGUAUCAUUUGAUCUUAUAUUUAAAAAUUAAUUUCUUUAUGCAUUGAAGAGACUCGAACUCAUUUUGGGAGUGAGGCACUAAUUAGCUAAUGGAUGUCUAGAUGUUCGCUUGAUCUUUGUUAGAUAACAAAUUUCAAUGAUAUUCAACAUUUUAACGUUUUGUACUUGUCAUUAGUUAAUGCUACAUAUUAAUAAUGUUAUAGAUAGGUUAAAUGUCUCAUUUUAUACUAUUAUUUUAGUAACCUCAAUAUUUACACCUUAGAAUUUAUCGUUUAAAAUGGAGUUACCAUAAUUGUCAGGAUAAUUAAAGUUAAUUAGCGUCACUUUUUAGCUAAUGAUUGAUUAUGUUUACGGUGCCUAGUCUUGCCAAAUGUCCAAAUUAGUGUAAAUUUAGAAUAUUUUUUUCUAGCUCUUUUUUCCUUUUAGUGUACGCGUGGGUACAAUGGCCUGAAACAAUGAAAUCUUUACUUUAUUUACUACCAAGAUACGAGGAUUUUGUAAAUAAUCUGAAUAAGAAGAUUUUGUUGGCACCAAAAGCAACGACAAUAUUCCUUGUAGUGCAUGCUUUUAGCAUUUCUUAAUUAUACAACAAUUGGGCAUGUAACUUCUAAGCACUUGGGUUCAAAUGCUGUCACAUAUAAUAUAAUAGGAUUAAAUACUUUUUUUUUCAAGUAAAAAUAAAAAUAGAAAUAGAAAUGAAAGUUUAGAAAGACCUUUUAAGCAAUUAUUAUUUUAUAUAGUGUUAAAGAUGGUUUUGUUCUUUUUAAGAUUCACGACUGAAUUUUAAAGUUAGAAUUCAAAUUUUUUAAGUCUAAUUUACGAAAGAAUAAAUUUAUCGUUCAUUUAUAGUAACAUAUAUAUGGUGCUCAGUUUGAUCAAGAUUGAUAGACCCUAAUAGCAAUAAUUUUCUAAUAAACUUGCUCAUUUCUUUUUUUUUUUUGAAAAAAAUAAUAAUUGAAACUACUCAUUNNNNNNNNNNNNNNNNNNNNNNNNNNNNNNNNNNNNNNNNNNNNNNNNNNNNNNNNNNNNNNNNNNNNNNNNNNNNNNNNNNNNNNNNNNNNNNNNNNNNNNNNNNNNNNNNNNNNNNNNNNNNNNNNNNNNNNNNNNNNNNNNNNNNNNNNNNNNNNNNNNNNNNNNNNNNNNNNNNNNNNNNNNNNNNNNNNNNNNNNNNNNNNNNNNNNNNNNNNNNNNNNNNNNNNNNNNNNNNNNNNNNNNNNNNNNNNNNNNNNNNNAAAAAAAUCAAAUAAGAAAGUAAAUCAAUAAUCACAACAAUAUAAUCAAAAUAAUUCUAAUAAUUGCUCAUUUGAUUUUUGGGUAUUACAUAAAUAAUACAUUUUAAAACUUUUAUGGAUUUUAAGUUCUUUCCGAAAAACAAGGACCCAACUAAAAAAUGCCCUCAUUUUAAUUUGAAACACCUACUGACAAAUGCAAACAUUUAAAUAUAUAUAUAUAUAUAUAUAUAUAUAUUGCCUCUCGUUGGUGCAUUCGCAACAAGGCAUUUGAAAUUGUGAAUUGCUUGCACGUAAUUAAAAAGAAAUGAAAUUUCUUAUUUUCACGAAUAUUUUUAAUUAUUUAUACCCAAAAGGGGGGGGGGGAAAUAAAGAAUAUUGGUCUACAAGGACAUGUUGGUAAUUGCAGGAACAUUUUAUUAAAUUCGGAUAAUCAGAUAUCGGAUCCUGUCGGCUUAGGACCCCACGUGAAAAAUUGUCAACACCCAACAUUUAUAACCCGAACCGGAUAUGACGGGUCAAGCAUUUUAUAAUUAUGACUUAAACCGAACUUGAUUAAAUUUUAAACAAACCUUAUUUGAAAGUUUGACAAAAUUAUAAUACUUGUUUACACUGUGAUUUGUGUGACAACGUAGUGAUAAUCACAUCUGCUUAUAAAGAAGAGAAUUUUUAGCUGUCAUUAAACAGAAUUAAUAAGUUAAUGCUUGCACGUUAUUAAUAACUUAAUAGUCAAUAAUAUCUCUUAGCUCUUGUUGUCAAAUUGAAAUUAAUUAAUUUUGUUUUAAAAAGAUUAUCUAGAUGCAAUAUCGUAUAUGUAUCUGAAUUUUUAAUCUAAAAUAUUCGAUCUUUGAUUAGACGAUCAAUUUUAUUGUAAAAUUUCAAGAUUUUUAGCUUUUAUGAAAUUAUAGUUUUGUGUAUUGAGUUAGAUUUUAAUCAAUAUUAUUAUGUAUUAAGCGGUUAGGUUACCAAAAUGAAUUGCUAGUCUAUCAAUUAUUUUGAUAUGUUGUUUUAUUAUCAAAAAAACUUUUUGAUUUUUUAUCCACCGAUAAUGUUGACUUAUUUAAUCAAUGAAAAUAAAUGUUAUUACAAACAGUCCGCGGUAUGAUUGACUACGAUGUUCAUGUGAUUCAUAGUGUUUAUUAUUAUUGAUGCAACACACAUCAUCCCAUAUCCGUGACGUUCAUAUUAUUAUUAUUAUUAUUAUUAUUAUUAUUAUUAUUUUACUUUAUUCUCAAUUAAUAUCAAAUAAAUGUACUUUUCAAUGUUAAUCAAAAUCUUUUACUUUUUGUGGGUGUCACUAUUUUGCACUGUGAGCACAAUUUAUCACGUUACGACUCUAAUUAAGGAAAUAGUUUUGACCUAGCUCGAAUUUAUUACGUGCACAUUAAAACUUAUCAAAGCAUAUCUUAAAACAAAUAUUUUGGAUGCGCCAUCCCAUCAUCCUCUCUAUUCUUCAACAAAACUAAAACAGUGUUAACGAGUUGUUUCUUAUAGUAAACUUUUUUUUUUUAUAAUUGAUCUUUGUAUUUGUGUUUGGUUUAAUGAAACUCUACUUACCAAAAAUAAAUAAAAAAUCAAAUAUAAAAGGAUACCUAACUACUGCCUACCAGCUACCAUACAAUGAUACAAUAAAUUUUCCUUCUUCUUCUUCCUCUCUCUCUCUCUCUCUCUCUCUCUCUCUUACAGCAGAAUAUUUAUAAUAAGUAUCAUUUGAUCUUAUAUUUAAAAAUUAAUUUCUUUAUGCAUUGAAGAGACUCGAACUCAUUUUGGGAGUGAGGCACUAAUUAGCUAAUGGAUGUCUAGAUGUUCGCUUGAUCUUUGUUAGAUAACAAAUUUCAAUGAUAUUCAACAUUUUAACGUUUUGUACUUGUCAUUAGUUAUUUGUUUGGGUGCUAUUAUCACGUGCAAGUAUGCAACAAGCAAAGCAAUCAUAAUAAGACAUGUUUUAGGAUUCAGCAAAAGGACAAUUACACAUAGUACAAUAAUUUCAUAAAUAUAUAUAAGUACAUGCUAAAAAUUAUUUAUUGGUUUUGGCCUUUGGGUUCAAUAAUGAGCUGUCACAUGAGAGUGGAAGAUUGUAGCAAAGCAAACAAGUAAUAAAAAAACAGCAAAUCCAUAAUUUGACAUCAAUGAUAUGAAUAGAAAAAAGCCUUCCAAUAAAGCUGGGUGGGGGUAACAUGGAUAGCAAAACAAGAGUACAUUUAUAUGCAACACCUUUUUAAUUAGUUCCUCAUAUAAUUGAAGACAGAGAUAAGAUUCUUAACCAAAACUGUGAAAGACAACAAAACCAAAAUAUUUUCCACUUUUGGAAUCAAAUCUUAAACUCAAAUUUUCACAGCAUGGAAGUGUCCUUUUUCUUCUUGGUAGAGACUCAGGCUGCUAAUGAGAUUGGUUUCUUCUUCCCCACCACCACCAGCACCACCCAUCUUGUAUUGUUGCCCAUGUGAAAGUAUUGAAGAAUUUCCACUAUGCAUUUAGCUUUAUUUAGGUGCAGUUUGGUUUAACAUCAUUGAUUAUUGAUUCCAAAAGAUAAUUUGUUUUGUGAAGAGGUGACAAAUAGGAUCUAUUUAGUUUGCGGUUCAAAAACAAAUUAAGGAAAUCUAGAUAAAACAAAACAGAGCUCCUAUAUCCCAACAAUAAUUUGGGCUUAUGGUCUCUUCAUUUGGGCUUAAACUAUAUUGCAUUUGAUGAAGUAAAAGAGAGCCAGCCCACCUAAAUUUGUUGGCUUGAUUGUGAAUCCCCUAACAUCUUCAUUGCAAUUCGUUUUCUGAAUUUGGGUGCAUUUCAAAAUAAGAGAGGGUGAAUCUUUAGACCAUUUUUGGUAUGUCCAGCAUUCUUCUCUCUCUCUCUUUGAAUUGUCAAAACUGGAAUUGCUUAAUUUUCAAUUAAUUCACUUCAACUAAAUAAACAUGCUAUCAAUUUGAUUAUUCAAAUUGUGUAAAUGCCCUAAAUUAGAUUAAUAAAUUGGAAGUGGAUUAGAGAAUUUCCACGACAUUUUAAAACAGUUGUAUAAUAAACGAAUUUAUCCUUUUUUAAAAAAUAAAAUUAAUCUUUUCUAAUGUCUAUUAGAAACUAAAACCCCUUCAAAUCCAUAUGAAAAAAGAAGUCUAUUACUUUGAGUUGUUGAGAGAUUCACACAUCUUUAUUCUUACCCAUGCAUGCUUACAUAUAGAGAUGGCAAUUUUUUUUGUUGGGAUGGGAUUCUAUAGGAUCCUGACCCAUUUGGAACGAGUUUAGAACAUAUUUUUGUCUCAAAAAAAUAAAUGGAUGAGAAUGAGACAUUUUUUCAUCUCAUUUGCAUUUACGGGACAAUAUUAGAAUUGACAAAUCCCAUCUCCUCCCGUUCCAUUGCCAACCCUAGCUGUUGGUUUGGUUUAUUAUUAUAUUAUUGAAUUAUUGGAUAUUUUAACAUGACUGAAGUUGAUUAAUGUCCAAAUUUAUAGUUUUUAAAAUAUAAGUCUUAAUAUUAACGUGCAAUAAAAGCAGAGAGACAAAUAAAAAAUCUAACAUAAAAUUAUAUUCGAACAUACAUAUAGUCAAAAUAAAACUAAUAUUUAAUUAUUUUACUUUAUAUUUAUUCAAGAUUCUUGCUAUAUUAAAAAAUGAUGAUUCUUAAAAGAAAAAAAAUCAAAAUUUAUUUAUUUGUAUUUGAGAUUAUUCAGAACUAAUAUUUAAUUAUUUUACUUUAUAUUUAUUCAAGAUUCUUGCUAUAUUAAAAAUGAUGAUUCUUAAAAGAAAAAAAUCAAAAUUUAUUUAUUUAUAUUUGAGAUUAUUCAGAAUAAUGGCUUGUGAUGAGAUAUUUAACGGGAUAAAAUUAGGAAAAAUUUGUGUCUCCAAAAAAAUAAAAGGAUGGACCGAAAUAUUUUUUUAUCCCAUUUGCAUAAAGAAAACAGAACUAAAAUUGAUAAAUACCGUCUCAUCCCGUCCCAUUACCAACCCAAUUUAUAUAGCACGUCAAUAGGCUAAAACCUUACUUUGAUUUUGCCCAUCCUAUUACAUCUUUUAAUUGAAGAAUUUUAGGAAAAUUUAUUCUGUUUGUAUUUUAUAUUUAUGUUUUUCAGCUUUGCUAUAUUUUAUUUAAGGAACACCAAUUCAAUUAAAAUAUACCACCCCCAAAAGAAACAAAAUAAUUAUUAAACUGCCAAAUGCCCAAAUUUCAUUUUUUUUUUCAUUGGCAGAGCUUAAACUUUGCCUACUUGCAUUUUCACUCUCAAUUGUGCUACCGAAACAAGCCUCCACUCUUCCCCUCAUAUACCCAAAACACCCUCCAGCUGGAAACGUGUCACGACCACAAGACGCGUGGCCCUCUCUCAAAGAACAAAGCCAGUCCCCAAAAAACCGAUCAAAGCCCCCGUUCUUCUUCUUCGCGGACCAAACCCUGACCCGACACCAAUCCCGUCUCUGUCUAAAACUCUCUUCAAAGCUUGAAAAUUUAUGCCUUGAAUUCAAAACCCUCAAUUGGUUCGUUUUUGUUUUGAUGGUUUUCGGCCAAUUUACAGGUACAUUUUUUUUUUUUUUUUGGUUUUAGCUCAUUUAAUUUUGUUUGGAAACUUUCUACCUUAAUUAGUUUACUAUAUAUAUAUUUUUUGAAUUAUGCUUAUUUGGGAUCAAUCAUGUCAGGCUGUCAAUAAUCGAAUUGUGUUAACAUGAGGACAAAGGUUUUAGUCAAAGAGUUAAUAGUGGCACUGACAAUCGUGUCGUUAGUUAAUUUUAAUAUGAAAAGUUUGUAAUUUUCACUAUUUUUGGGGCAAAACUUGAAGUGGGUAAAGGAUAAAAGGAAGUAAGACUUGAGUAUAGAAUUGAAGUUUCAAAGUGAGGCUAGCGGUAUGGAAAUCUGAACACUACGUGGUUGAAGUGUUGGAUAUGGUCAACAGAAUCACUAUCGAAGUGAUGGAACUUAGUAAAUGGUCAGGAAUUGAAAGUCGAAUUGCCUGGUAGAUGUUAUGAGAGCUGAUAACAGGUUAAUUCUAAAAUCUCCAAAAACAAGGAUUGUAUUUGUUUUGUGGUACGCUGAAUUGAAAUGUAGUUUUGAAAAGGAGCAAUCGGUGAUAAUGCUUACUUCAUGUUAGUUUACUGCUAGCGGGAUGGUUGCUAUUUAAUAUGAAUGUGUUAUUGUCUUGGAAACGCGAAUGAUAACGUAGUUUGGAGGUCGAUGGUUGUUGCUAGAAUAUAGCCAUUGGGAUAAAGAAGCAUUUUUUUAAUCCAUUGCUUAAACUUUUAUCCCCGAAACCAUUUAAAAGAUUCUUUGCUGUCCAUGUGAUCAAUAUUUCUUUUGUCUAGUAGUUUUAGCUAAAAGUUUUCGGUUUUCUGUAUAACAAUUGAUUAGUGGGACUAUUGUAUUGUAUUCAAUUGAUUAACAUGUUCAGGUGGUGAAUCCUUACCAUUAACCGCAUUCCUAUUUUUGUUAAUUUUAAGAUAUUUGUAGAUUUUGUGGUACAAAUGUCUGUUUAAAAUCAGAAAAUUUGAAUUCUUUUUUGUUGAUUUUGAUUAGUAGUUACAAUUAUUUCUUUCUUUUAGGUACCUUCAUGGGAUCCCUUUGUAGAAAGAAUAAAAUCAUCCCCACAGGAGACUCUGAAGAACUAUCUAUGUGAUGUCACAUGAAAGACAUAAGACCAAUGUGAGCAAAACUUGGAAAAGUGCAUUUUGAUUAAAACUAGAUUCGACUAUACCCACUGUAAGGAUGGAUUCCUAUGACAUCACUAGCAACACCAUUUUGGAGCCUCGUGAUGAUAUGGAAUUCGAGUCUCAUGAGGCUGCUUAUUCAUUUUAUAAAGAAUAUGCUAAAUCUAUGGGAUUUGGUACUGCUAAAUUGAGCAGUCGCCGGUCUAGGGCAUCAAAGGAAUUCAUUGAUGCAAAAUUUUCAUGCAUAAGAUAUGGGAACAAGCAACAAUCUGAUGAUGCCAUAAAUCCACGGCCAUCUCCAAAAAUUGGAUGUAAGGCAAGCAUGCAUGUGAAGAGAAGGCAAAAUGGAAAGUGGUUUAUUUACAGCUUUGUAAAGGAGCACAAUCACGAGCUUUUACCUGCUCAGGUACAUUUCUUUCGUAGUCACCGAAAUGUUGAUCCACUGAAGAAUGAUGUUAGGAUAAGGAGGAGGAAGAACCUAGCUGCAGUAUCUAAACUCUUCAAUGCUUAUCAAAAUGUUGAUUGUUUGGAGACUUAUAUGAGAAAUCAGCAUGAUAAAGGGCGAAGCUUGGUUUUAGACCCUGCAGAUUCUCAAGUAUUGCUAGAAUAUUUUAUGCAGAUGCAAGAAGAAAAUCCAAAAUUCUUCUAUGCAUUUGAUUUGAAUGAAGAGCAUCGGUUGAGAAAUGUGUUUUGGGUGGAUGCCAAAGGCAUGGAAGAUUACACCAACUUCGGUGAUGUAGUUUCCUUUGACUCGACGUAUUUCACAAACAAGUACAAAAUUUCAUUGGUUCUUUUUGUUGGAGUUAACCAUCAUAUUCAGCCCACAUUGCUUGGUUGUGCAUUAAUUGCAGAUGAAACAGUUUAUACUUUUGUUUGGUUACUGCAAACAUGGUUUUUAGCAAUGGGAGAGCGAGCUCCACAAGUGAUACUCACUGAUCAAAAUAGUGCCAUUAAAGCAGCUGUUGCAGCAGUUUUUCCAGAGACGCGCCAUUGUUUCAGUUUGUGGAAUGUAUUGGAAAUGAUUCCUAGGCAUCUUGAGUAUCUAAGCCCGUGGCACGACAAUUUUAUGGAAAAAUUUUAUAAGUGUAUAUAUAGGUCAUGGACUGAGGAGCAAUUUGAAAAGAGGUGGUGGAAAUUAGUUGAAAAGUUUCAUCUUAGAGAGGUACAAUGGAUUCAAUUGUUGUACGAAGAUCGUAAACAUUGGGUUCCUACAUUCAUGAGAGGCAUAUCUUUUGCUGCAUUGUCUACGCCUUCACGUUCUGAGAGUUUAAACUCUUUGUUUGACAAAUAUGUGCGUGGAGAAACAUCAUUGAGAGAGUUUAUAGAGCAAUACCGAGUGAUUCUUGAAGACAGGUAUGAAGAGGAAGCCAAAGCAGAUUUUGAUGCAUGGCAUGAAACACCAGAGUUGAAAUCUCCAUCACCGUUUGAAAAGCAAAUGUCACUAGUGUACACACAUGAAAUUUUCAAGAAGUUCCAAGUUGAGGUUUUGGGAGCCGCUGCUUGUCAUCUUAAAAAGGAAAAUGAAUUUGAAACGACUACAACGUACGAAGUUAAAGACUUUGAAGAUAAUCAGAAUUUUAUGGUGGAAUGGAAUGAGUCAAAAUUGGACAUAUAUUGUUCAUGUCGUUCAUUUGAGUAUAAAGGUUAUCUCUGUAGACAUGCUAUCAUUGUUCUGCAGAUGUCUGGUGUUUUCAGCAUCCCAUCUAAAUACAUAUUGCAAAGAUGGACAAAUGCUGCUAAGAGCAGGCAUGUCAUUAGUGAAAGACUAGAUGAGAUGCAGUCUAAGGUACGUCGGUACAAUGAUCUAUGCCGGCGUGCCAUUAUAUUGGGUGAAGAAGGGUCUAUCUCACAAGAGAGUUAUAGCAUGGCACUGUCUGCUAUCCAAGAAGCUUUGAAGCAAUGUGCAAGUCUGAAUAUUUCUGUCGAAAG
rnacentral:lncRNA from 1 species